UACAGAGGGUGCUAGCGUUGUUCGGAAUCAUUGGGCGUAAAGAGCUCGUAGGCGGUCUGUUGCGUCCGCUGUGAAAACUCGGGGCUUAACCCCGAGCCUGCAGUGGAUACGGGCAGACUAGAGGUAGGUAGGGGAGAAUGGAAUUCCCGGUGUAGCGGUGAAAUGCGCAGAUAUCGGGAGGAACACCGGUGGCGAAGGCGGUUCUCUGGGCCUUACCUGACGCUGAGGAGCGAAAGCGUGGGGAGCGAACAGG
rnacentral:rRNA from 1 species